GACCGAGGGUGCAAACGUUGUUCGGAAUUACUGGGCGUAAAGCGCGUGUAGGCGGCCCUGCAAGUCGGAUGUGAAAUCCCACGGCUCAACCGUGGAAGUGCAUUCGAAACUGCAGGGCUAGAGUCCUGGAGAGGAAGGUGGAAUGCUUGGUGUAGAGGUGAAAUUCGUAGAUAUCGGGAGGAACACCAGUGGCGAAGGCGGCGACCUGGGCCAAUACUGACGCUGAGGUGCGAAAGCGUGGGGAGCAAACAGG
rnacentral:rRNA from 1 species